ACUCAUUCUGACAUCAGGGUGCAGCAGAGAGAGAUGGCAGGGGGUGGGGGAGCAGCUUCUGCCAUCUGGGAACUCCACAGAGGUCAGAAGUCACUGUGAAAUGGGCUGGAGGCUGUCAUGAGACUGUCCUUCUCGCUGAGGCCAUGCGUAAGACCCCUCCUGUCGGAUAGGGAGCCUCGAGAUCUCUUCUGCCUCAUGGACUCUAACCGCAUCUCUCUGACGUUAUGCUUUUCUAUUAACAAUACAUUGAGGCUACUUCUGUUCCUGCCCAGAGGCACGAGCAUGUGUCCUCAAACCCAACGACUGAUGUCCUCUAUGGCUACUCCAGGCUCUGUGGUCAGAUGCUGCCCAAAUCCCUGCCCCCGCCUCUCAGUUGCCCUGGUACCACCCUCCUCAGUGUCUGAAGGACAGGAUACAUCCUACUCAGUCAGAAUGCAUAGAGGUACCACGGUGUUUUGGGAUGCAGUCCUCCAGAGCAAAGCAGCGGCCAUUCUCCACAGGUGUCUGCGCCUGCGUGCAAGCAACCAUCUCUGUAGGGUCUGUUGACUAAGGAUGCUUCCUCAUAGAAGAAGCGGGUUGAGAAGCUCUUUCGAUGCUCACCUGAAGUUCCAGCUACUUGGCCCCAGCCAUUUGGUGACCCCGCCCUGAACUGCUGGCAGUGAGUCUGUUCCAAGCUCCAGUGAGGGGGGGCAUCUGCCCACUUGGGGCUUCUGUCCAAGUUAAAAGGCUUGCAGGUGGUGCAGAAAGAAGUCUGGUCACAAUUGGCUACAGCGAACAAGCCGGGUACCCCAAAGACAUCUCACCAGUUCCAGCCAGAGAUCUGAUCUACGUGCUACAUCUGCGUCAUGCUGAGACCCUCAAGCCUCACUAGAAGGGUCCCUGCCUAGUCCUGUUCACUAUCCCUUCUUAUUCUGUUUUUGUUCCCAUGCUAAAAAUAGAGUAAAUGCAGUACAGCUUAUGAUC
rnacentral:lncRNA from 1 species